AUUGAACGCUGGCGGCAUGCUUUACACAUGCAAGUCGGACGGCAGCACAGAGAAGCUUGCUUCUUGGGUGGCGAGUGGCGAACGGGUGAGUAACAUAUCGGAACGUACCGAGCAGUGGGGGAUAACUAAUCGAAAGAUUAGCUAAUACCGCAUAUUUUCUGAGGAAGAAAGCAGGGGACCAUUUGGCCUUGCGCUGUUUGAGCGGCCGAUAUCUGAUUAGCUAGUUGGUGGGGUAAAGGCCUACCAAGGCGACGAUCAGUAGCGGGUCUGAGAGGAUGAUCCGCCACACUGGGACUGAGACACGGCCCAGACUCCUACGGGAGGCAGCAGUGGGGAAUUUUGGACAAUGGGCGCAAGCCUGAUCCAGCCAUGCCGCGUGUCUGAAGAAGGCCUUCGGGUUGUAAAGGACUUUGUCAGGGAAGAAAAGGACAGGGUUAAUACCCCUGUCUGAUGACGGUA
rnacentral:rRNA from 1 species